AUGCCCUCCAGCUGCCAGGACAGCCCUGCCCUGCUCUGUGCUCCUCAUCUGGAAGAUUAGGUUGGGGCAACAAGGAGAAUUCCAGAGAGAGAAGCUGGUGCCCUGACUGUGUGCAGGCUGAACCAGUCCAUCGGGAACAGUAACAUGUCUGUGAAGGAUGUGUGUCAUCUGCUGCCAAGUAGGAGAAAAAUCUCUUUGGAAAGAUCUAAAUAAUGACUUCAGAAAAAUCUUAAAAGUAACUAGAAUACCUUCAACUACUUAAGUAAGGACAAACUCAAAGACUGAGUGACUUCAGGCCAGCCUCAUGGAGUUAUUGUUCUCUGAAGAAAAAAAAAAGACUGGAUAACAGCAAUUGUGUCUUGAUUUCCUGAUUUGCUCUAGAAUAAAAUAAGUUGCAUGCUUGCUUCGAAUAGAUGUUAGUAAUAAAUAAAUAUGAUAUUAAAAAUCGGUAUAUAUCUAAACAGUAGAGAGUGCUAUUAAAAUGCUGUAAACCCUCAAAAUAAUUGCCUUCAAGGGAACCCCUGAUAGAGAAUAUAGUCAGAUGGUUGCUGGACUUAUCAUGGUGAUCACUUCUUUAAGUAUAUAAAUGUUGAAUAACUAUGGUGUAUGCCUGAAACUAAUAUACUAUUGUCCGUUAGCAAUAUUUUAAUAAGGAACUUAAAAAAAGGGAUCCCUGAACUUAGGCAAACUGCCUCAUGAGGAGGUCAGAUGCUGUGAACAGACCUCUUUUACAAAGGAACACUACAUACAAACUUAACUGCGCUCACUAUACACAUCACCUAAUCUCACCACUACUUAGAGCAUAAAUUUGACUGACCUUGUGCAAAUUAUAGCUGCCUCCAGAUGUGGUCACAGAAACACUGAGGUGAUAACCCUUAGGAGUACAAGAAUUCCUGCAAUAACCUCUAAUUACAGACAUCAAACAAACUUAAACCAAUUCCUCUCUCUCCUUUGUUGGGAUUCCUGGGGCUUAACAGACCCACAAAGCACUUCCUUUCACGAAUGUAACCAAGACAUUAGUAAAUGCACAUCUCUUAUACUGACAAACAAUGUUUAUGUGUGUCAAUCAAAUUAUAAAAUAAAAUACUAACAGUGCUCUAA